UACGUAGGGGGCAAGCGUUGUCCGGAUUUAUUGGGCGUAAAGAGCGUGUAGGCGGCUAGGUAGGUCCGUUGUGAAAACUCGAGGCUCAACCUCGAGACGUCGAUGGAAACCAUCUAGCUAGAGUCCGGAAGAGGAGAGUGGAAUUCCUGGUGUAGCGGUGAAAUGCGCAGAUAUCAGGAAGAACACCCGUGGCGAAGGCGGCUCUCUGGAACGCAACUGACGCUGAGACGCGAAAGCGUGGGAGCAAACAGG
rnacentral:rRNA from 1 species